ACGCUAGCGGGAGGCCUAACACAUGCAAGCCGAGCGGUAUUUGUCUUUCGGGACAGAGAGAGCGGCGUACGGGUGCGGAACACGUGUGCAACCUACCUUUAUCAGGGGGAUAGCCUUUCGAAAGGAAGAUUAAUACCCCAUAAUAUAUUGAUUGGCAUCAGUUAAUAUUGAAAACUCCGGUGGAUAGAGAUGGGCACGCGCAAGAUUAGAUAGUUGGUAGGGUAACGGCCUACCAAGUCAGUGAUCUUUAGGGGGCCUGAGAGGGUGAUCCCCCACACUGGUACUGAGACACGGACCAGACUCCUACGGGAGGCAGCAGUGAGGAAUAUUGGACAAUGGGUGAGAGCCUGAUCCAGCCAUCCCGCGUGAAGGACGACGGCCCUAUGGGUUGUAAACUUCUUUUGUAUAGGGAUAAACCUUUCCACGUGUGGAAAGCUGAAGGUACUAUACGAAUAAGCACCGGCUAACUCCGUGCCAGCAGCCGCGGUAAUACGGAGGGUGCAAGCGUUAUCCGGAUUUAUUGGGUUUAAAGGGUCCGUAGGCGGAUCUGUAAGUCAGUGGUGAAAUCUCAUAGCUUAACUAUGAAACUGCCAUUGAUACUGCAGGUCUUGAGUAAAGUAGAAGUGGCUGGAAUAAGUAGUGUAGCGGUGAAAUGCAUAGAUAUUACUUAGAACACCAAUUGCGAAGGCAGGUCACUAUGUUUUAACUGACGCUGAUGGACGAAAGCGUGGGGAGCGAACAGGAUUAGAUACCCUGG
rnacentral:rRNA from 1 species